AAAUGGUCCAAAUUUUUUUUUUAAUCCAAAACCUUACUUCUCGAUUGGCAGCUCUGCUUUGUUCGUGUCUGUCUUGUUUUUCUUCAAACACCUGUGCUGCAACAUGUCUCAGCUAUUGCCAACAGCAAGAGAGUAGAGUUCCAUUCGAGAGGUCUGUUUUUUUCAUUCCUUUUAUUGAAUUCUUGCCAUUUUCGUGUUGGAUUUUUUUGUUUGAUUGUUCUAAAAUUGGUUAAAACAGUUCGUAGUAAGUGAUAUUUCAAUUGGCUGUUAAUAGAUGUGGCCAGUAAUUCUUAUUCUUCUUCUUUAAUGUGAUUUUUGUUUAUAAAGAAAUCCAAUUCUUGCCCACCUUGUCUUCCUUCACUGGUAAAAGAAAAAUAAAUGAAAUUCUAAACUUAGUGAGUGGAUACGUCAGAUUGGUUUUGAAAAACUUGUAUUUAGUUUGCGAAGAUUUUAAGUGAACUCAGAAUUUUAGUAUAAUUUGGAUGUAGGGGAACUCAGAUGCAUAAGGCAAUUACUUCUUAUAAGUAAGAUGAUUCCUAUGUAAUUUAUGCAAAGAAAGCAAGUAUCCAAACACUAGGCUUUUAUGAAUUCAGAUCUAAGCUAAAAGUGUAGAUUAACCAACUUUUCUGUUAGUUAGUUUGUGAGAUUGUGGUUCUUAAAAAAGCAAUUUUAGCAACUCAAUCAUCAAAAAUCAAUAAUGAUACAAGAAAAAGAAAAGCAAAAGCAAACUAUGGGAAUUUCUUCCAUGAAGUAAUUUGUUGAUUGGUUUCUUCAUGUAUUUUUAAGAGUGUGAGAAGUGAAAGUUUCAUGUUUCCAUUCCCAUCCAUAAGCACAGUUGUAAAUCUUAGCAGCUUAGGCCAUGGCAUGUUUGAUAGCAUCUUAGCUUUUGGCCUUGACCAAUCUAGGCCUGAUCACAAGUCAGAAUCCACUUGUGAGCCUCAUGAGAUGAGGUAAUCUAUCAGGUUGGAAUUGAACUUAGUCGCUUUGUAACAAUGAUUUCUCUCUCUGAUUUCACAUUUUGCCUUGGAUGAUUUCUUAGCUGCUAGGAUCAGCACUGGAGAUUGCAGUAUGACACACUGCAGUAGGAUUUUGUGCUCCAAAAUGGUUUAGCAGCUCUAGUAUGAAUCCACUAUUCAGGACUGAAGCUCUUUGCCAUUCUGCAAAUUUAUGAAGGCUUUGUCUGUGAUUUAUUUAUUUAUUCAUUUAUUUUUAUUUCACCGUGGCUUUGCUUGCAAGAUAUUUUUCAGAUAACUCCUGUGUGGUUUUUGUUGAUAAUUAAUUAUCCAGAAAAUCAAGCACCUGGAGUUUUUUUAUUGGGUGUAAGGGGACUUAGAUGCACAAGGCCAAUUUCUUCUUAGAAGUAACAUGCUUCGUAUAUAAUUUAAUACAAAUACAGAAAGUAUCCUAGUUUAGACUGUUAUGAAUUGAGAUCUAAGCUAAUAGAGCAGCUUUAACUUCAUGUUUAAGCACAGUUGUAAGUACUAGGAGCCUAGCCAACCCAUUGCAAGUUUGAUAAUGUCUUAUUAUUGGGUCUUGACCAAUCUAGGCCUGACAAGUCAGAAUCCUCUUGUGGGCCUGAUGAGAUGAUUGAAGUUCUCUAUAUGCAAAUUUAUUAAUGCUUUGAGUGUCUUUGAUUUUUUUUUUUAUAACCUUUCUGUAGCUUUGUAACAAUGGUUUCUCUCUCUGGUUUCACCUUUUUGCCUUGCAAAAUUUCUACUACGCUCAGCACCGGAUAUUGCACUCAAAAGUUCUAUUGGUUUCAUUUUUUCCUUUAUUAAAUUUUUGCAGUAUUUCAUGCUGCAAUUACGAUUUUGUGCCCGAAAAUGGUUUAGCAGCUUUAAUAUGAAUCCAGGGGAGUAAGGAGCAGUGAGUUGGCGUUUGAUGCCGUGUAACUCGCAGAACUUGCUGAACUCAUUCGAUGUAAACUCGCCUCCUUUGUCUGUUCUAAACGUUUUGAGCUUACAUUCGGACUUGACUUUAAUAUGAGCUUUCAUUUUCUUGAAAGCACUAAAAACCUCAUCUUUUCUUUUGAGCAUUUCAAUCCAUAUAUAACGACUGUAAUCAUCCACGAGCAAGAGAAAAUACUUGUUUUUGCCGCAUGUGGUAGGUGAUGACGGCCCGCACAAGUCACCAUGCACGAGUUCUAGAGAUUUGGUUGCUUGAUACUCUCCUGCUUUCAGGAAACUCGUGCGAUGCUGUUUACUGAUCACACAUUGUUCACAGAUGUGCUUCACUGUUUCUAUCUCCGGUAAACCUUUCACCAUGUUUUCUUGUGCGAGCUUGCGUAAAGCUUGAUAGUUGAGGUGCCCGUAGAGUGCGUGCCAUAAGCAAGGCUUUUCAGACAACCUUGUCAG
rnacentral:lncRNA from 1 species